rnacentral:rRNA from 1 species
CGGCGGACGGGUGAGUAACACGUGGGUGACCUACCUAUAAGACUGGGAUAACUCCGGGAAACCGGGGCUAAUACCGGAUAACACAUGAAACCGCAUGGUUUCAUGAUGAAAGACGGUUUUGCUGUCACUUAUAGAUGGACCCGCGGCGUAUUAGCUAGUUGGUAAGGUAACGGCUUACCAAGGCAACGAUACGUAGCCGACCUGAGAGGGUGAUCGGCCACACUGGAACUGAGACACGGUCCAGACUCCUACGGGAGGCAGCAGCA